GUGCUAGAUGCUAGUACAGGCUCUAUGUUCUCACAAACAAACCUCUGCCCUCAUGGAGUUCACAUUCUAAUGGGGAAAUGAUUGUCUACUCUUACAGAGAGAGGAGUUUAAGCGUUUAUAUGAGGGAUUAUUACAAGACAGCAAAAAGACCCUGCGCGCUCCAGUCUCGGUAGUGGAGCGGCCUCCCGCCGUCUCCUCUGCAAAUGGGCUCCGUGGCCUAGCGCCUCCGUCCCCACCACCCGUGAUCGUGCGCCGAGGCCGGAGGGGUCGCCGCCCAGGUCCCACCAGCCCGCAAGUCAGAACAUGGCCGCCAUCCCCUCCAGCGGCUCACUCGUGGCCACCCACGACUACUACCGGCGCCGCCUGGGUUCCACCUCCAGCAACAACUCCUGCAGUAGUACCGACUGCCCCCGGAAGCCAUUCCCCACCCUCCAGGUCAGAUCCUGUCUGCUGCUUGAAGUUACGUCAUAUCUCUGCUGAACCGUCAGAGCAUCUUGACUUCCGAAUGUGUCUUUUGUCUUAUUUUUCCUCUGCUGUUCAGAACCAGCAGGGUCUGCUCUUUGUAACAAAAUGACUGUCGCAGUUCCAGACCUCACAUCUGCAUCCACCACUCUCCAGGGGAAAUGUGGCAAAAGUCUUAGGAUUCAUUUUCGAUCAUGAGAUCUAAC
rnacentral:lncRNA from 1 species